CAGAAGGGGAUAACACUUGGAAACAGGUGCUAAUACCGUAUAACAAUCGAAACCGCAUGGUUUUGAUUUGAAAGGCGCUUUCGGGUGUCGCUGAUGGAUGGACCCGCGGUGCAUUAGCUAGUUGGUGAGGUAACGGCUCACCAAGGCCACGAUGCAUAGCCGACCUGAGAGGGUGAUCGGCCACAUUGGGACUGAGACACGGCCCAAACUCCUACGGGAGGCAGCAGUAGGGAAUCUUCGGCAAUGGACGAAAGUCUGACCGAGCAACGCCGCGUGAGUGAAGAAGGUUUUCGGAUCGUAAAACUCUGUUGUUAGAGAAGAACAAGGAUGAGAGUAACUGUUCAUCCCUUGACGGUAUCUAACCAGAAAGCCACGGCUAACUACGUGCCAGCAGCCGCGGUAAUACGUAGGUGGCAAGCGUUGUCCGGAUUUAUUGGGCGUAAAGCGAGCGCAGGCGGUUUCUUAAGUCUGAUGUGAAAGCCCCCGGCUCAACCGGGGAGGGUCAUUGGAAACUGGGAGACUUGAGUGCAGAAGAGGAGAGUGGAAUUCCAUGUGUAGCGGUGAAAUGCGUAGAUAUAUGGAGGAACACCAGUGGCGAAGGCGGCUCUCUGGUCU
rnacentral:rRNA from 1 species